AGACAUAGGAUUUGGGUUGAGCAUCACUUCAGUCACUCUGACUUAGUUCACUUGGACCCCACUUAACAGUACGGUGGUUCCUAUGACUCAACAAAGAAGAAAAGGAAACAGCAAAAGCACACAGUCUUUGCGCUCCAAAGUCUUCACGCAAUGUCUUCUCAUGUCAUAGUCUUCAAUAUGAAUAUCUUCUCAUAUCACCAUUGUCUUCAAUGUCUUCAUACAUUUUUAGGGGUCAUCUCCGGUAGGUAAACCGAAUCAAUGAGGGACACUACCUGCGUUAUCCUACAAUUCUCACAAACGCAUUAGUCCCUCAACCAACUUUGUCGUCAAUACUCCAAAACCAACUAGGGGUGGCACUAGAUGCACUUACAAUCUCCCCCUUUUUGGUGAUUGAUGACAAACUAGUUGAAGUUUUCAACGGGGAUAAAGUAUGUGAAAUUGUAAGGAUAGGAAUUUGUCUUCAUAAGUUGCAAGGGCUCCCCAUUAAGAUGUGCAUAUAAGUAAUUUGCUUUUGGAAUGCAAAUGCACAUGGCAGGUUGUACUUGUGGAGAUCCACUUCUACUUAUGAAGAUAAUUCAUCAUGCAUGAAGUGAUAUAGUAAUAAGAAUGACAUGCAUAAUGAAAAAUGGACGUCUGCAGAAUGAUCUAAGUGCGGAAGUUAUCAUCGCACAUGCGGAAUUUAUCAUCCCAAAGCAAAUAAGUAGCAGAAGUAGCAGACGACCAUCAAGUUUAGGUGUUACAACUCAAAGAACCAAAUGUUUCAAAAUGCAAGAGUUGUAAGCACGCAGCAAAAUAUAAUGCAACCGCCCAUAUGAACCCGCUUGAAGACUAUCAACUCAUACGCUUCUCCCCCUUUUAUCAGUAAUGACCAAAGAGGUUUGAAGACAUAGAGCAUCUACUCGUCAUCAUGAGUAGGUGAAGCAGCAGGGUUGUCGUCGUUGGUUGGCAGUGCAGACGAGCUUGGUGCAGUGUCGAUGCGUGCAGUAGUAGUUGGAAGUGGUGAAGUAGCGUCAUCUUCAUCAUCGAUCACCCUGGCAUUAACUAUUUCCGCAGAAGAGGAAUAUUCAGAGUCUUCAAGAGAUGGAGUUCGACGGAGGGUAGCAGUCCUUGGAGGAGUGGAGUCGAACUGGAAUCUUUCAUUGAAGCCAUCAUCUUGAAGAUCAGCUUCAGCACUGAGCAGGGUCAAACUCUUCCAUGAUCUUUGGCAAGUUUCAUGAGCAACAAAAGCAUUCUUGGUGGCAAGGUUGCGAAUGCGAUUGACAUCCACCAAGAGGCUUUGCAUUUGGCGCUUGAGCUAGAAAUGAUGCUUAUCCUGCUUCUGAUGAAGAGCCACAAGAAGCUCUCGGUCAUUAAGAACACGAGAACGCUUCCGAGGCCUUUGCACAAUGGUGCUUUCAGUGGCUUCAGUUGGCGCUCUGUGAGGCAGGCGGGUGUUACCAGCAAGUGGAUAGAAUCUUGUUGCUGCAUGAACACCUUCAAUAGGCUGAGUGAAGCUUUGGUGCUCAAUGUUCUGAAGACAAAGUGGUGUCUUGGCAGGGUCAGAGUAUACAACAUCAACUGACAUAUCAACCUCGGGCAGGAAUAUUAUGUGAUUGCGAGCAGAGGGCUGAUAAUUGAUAGAUGAGUGUCGCUUGAUGAGGCACAUGACCCAGGGAGCAUAAAACUUCAGACCAAACAGAUCAGAACUGGAAGCAGCAAGUUGUCUGAUGAAAAACUCCUGAGUGUUGAAGCUGAUGACAUUAAUUAAGAAUAUAGAAGACCAAAGUCUUCAUGGCUCCUUCAAGCUUGGCCGAUGAUGAGUGUCCCUUAACUGGCCAUAGAGUUCGCCCGAUGAUAUGGUAUAUGGUGCGAGGCAGAUACUCAAGGUCUUCAACAAAGAAAUGUGUGGGAUACUCAGCGUCAGAUGGCAAAGGCUUCAUUAUGCUCAGUAUCUGGCUCAUGUUAGGUUCUGGCUUAUGGAAGAUGCUCUCCAUAGCAUUGCGGUGUAGCUGACAGUUAGGCUCAUACAGUUCUCCAGGAGUGGCUAACCCAGUAAGCUCAAUGAUGUCCAUAGCUUUGGCUUCAUGAUGAACAUUGCCAGUCAUCCACUCGAGAACCCAAGUCUUCAUGUCUAUGUUGUAGCCGCGAAUGUGCAGAGUGGCAUAGAAUUGAAGCAAUAGCUCUUCAUUCCAAUGUUCCUUGUUUGUCACAAACUGGAGCAGACCAGCAUCACGAAAGCAGUCAAGUGCUUCUUCUAAGCACGGCAGUCCAGCAAUAGCUUCAGUGUCAAGACGCAUAUGAGGGAAAAUGCGCCCUUGAUCAUAUAGCACGCAUGAGUAAUAGCUUCUCUGCUGAUAGCUCCAGAAUUGAUCUGACAAAAUUCGUGGCUUGGAGUAUGGGUUCUUGGCGCAGUCAAAGAAGGUAUUGUGGCUCUUGAAGCCAUUGGCAUUGAAGGACCCGGGGGAGUUGGCAGUACCUGAAAACCUUGGCAACCUGGGCUUUGGCUUCUGGACCUGAGGCCGAUGCUCAACAUGAUAGUCAAAUUGGGGUCCUGAGGCAGAAGGCGGAGGCACCAGAACGGGCCAUCGGACAGUGACAAGCUGACCUGAUCGUAUGCUUGCUCAAUAGUGUGAGGCCUUGGUGGAGGAACAGGAGCAGGGGCAACAUCAGAGGGUUCAGGCUGCACAACAGGUGCUUCACGAGCAGUUGUCAGAUUGGCUUCAGGUGCAGCAUCCUCAUGGGCUUCAGGUGUGACAUUUUCAUGAGCUUCAGGUGCAGCGUUCUCAUUGACUUCAGGGUCAACAUCCUUAGUGGCCACAUUUGCUUCGGGUACAGUGGCCUCAUUGGUUUCAGGCACGCUGGUUGGUGCAGGCUCCACAUUGACGUCAGCCAUGACUACCUCACUGGCUUCAUUGGUGUUGGUUGUGGCAGCCUCAACAUUUUCAACCUCCUCUUGACGAACAGGAGGGUCGGGCACAGGCACGUUCAAAUCAUGAACUGCCUCUUCUUCAAUCGUUGGGGAUGUUGGUACACGAACUUCUUCUUCUUCAAUAGCAGGGGGAGUUGGUACACGUACUUUUUCUUCUUUUUCUUCGGCUGAUGCAGCCGGAAUGUCUUCAGCAGCAUGGGCUUCAGACAUGGAGAUGUUCACUGUUGGAGCUGGUUCAAAGAAAACUUGUCGUGCAACAGGUGAACGUUGCACUUCUCCUUCAGGAACGCUCGACAGAGGAACUUCAGGCCUUUGUCCUCUUCGAAGCCUGCGAAGCGCUGGCUUCAAGUUAGGAGAUGGACUUGGCUGGGCCUGAAAGUCUUCAGCCUCUUCUUGCACUGGGGGUGUAGCUUGUUGUUGUUGUUGGGGAGUACUGGGGGAGUCUUGGUGUUGUUGUGGGUGAUCAGCCCACGAAGCAUCCUGAGCAAUUGGCGUCAAAGGACGACCAAUGCUGAUGAUUUCGCUGUUCGUACGAACAAGCGAUGAUACCACUUGAUGUUCGAUCUGAGGAAGAACUUCAUCAUCAUUUACAUUGUCAUCAUGACCAAUGUCUUCAGCAGCGUUGGGUUCAGCUGCUGGAAUAUCUUCAGCCUCAUGAGCCUUUGUGGUAGCAGGCUCAUGGACAACCAUCCUUCUUUCUUGAUGAACAGACACAAGGCAAACCACGGAAAUGGGUUCAACGACUAAGGGCUCUGUGGAAGCAGCCCUAGUCUUCUUGGUCUUGCACUUCUUCUUGGAGGGAGCGGCAUCAGAAGCUUCAGUAUUCUUUCUCUUUCUCGCAUCAGCCUCAGCAGCCUUUGUCUUCUUCUGUUCUGAAGCGGUUGUGGUGACCUUUGGCUUCGAGCCAGUCAUGCUGCUCGGGAAGAUAAUGCGAGGGGCUUCUUGGCUUGAAGGCACAGGCUGUUCAGCAGGGUGCUUCUUCUUCCUCUUUGCAGCCAUCCUGGGGUCAAUGCCUGGACGGCCAAGGGACUUGCGCUUCUCAGCCUCAUUGUAGGCAAGCACACACUUAUCAGCCAAAAGCUUCAUGCAUUCACGUGAGCCCUGAGCUUCUUGGCAUUUCUGCAGAAAAGCUUCUUUGAGCUCAUGGAGCAUGACCUUGAAGUUGUGAACGUCUUGAACACUCAGAUUGGCCACAUGCUUCUUGAAUUGAGCCUUCUCAAAAUCAAUCUUGUUUUUGAGCUCAACUAUGCGCUGAGCGAGAGCUAGCUCAGAAGCAAUGGCGCCAUUGAAGGCGACACUGAGGCCAAUUGGGAGCUGUAAAUCUUCAAAGCUGACGUUGGGGGUAUCGAACCACUCAUCAAUGAAAUUGUGAAGGAUGGCCACAUCAAACAGAGGCAGGUUGUUGAAGAUUUCUGCUUCUUCUUUGCUCUUUAUCAGCUGCUCAAGAGCAUCAUUAGCAAGAUCUUCAUCACUUGAUAGAUCAAUGGGUUCUUCAUGCAGAAUUGCGGCAGGAGUCAAGGCUCGUUGAUCAGUUGGUCUAACAAGUUGUUUCUUCUUCUCCAUUCUCUUGGAGACACGGGACAGAUCUUCAGAUUGCACACUGGCUUCAGGAGGUGCAGUGACCAGUGGCUUCGCACGCAAAGUCUUCGGAGGUGCAGCUGAGGUUGAAGCCUUAGACUUCUUUUGCUUUUGCGGCUUUGGAGGAGGAGGAGCAGGGGCUUCAUCAGAGUCAGCACCAUUGUCAGAAUGAUCAACUCUGGCGCCUUGGACCAUGAUGUAAGUGAUGAGGCCGUCAAGGUUGGCGUAGGGGCCAAUGACAUUGGGAUUGGCUUCACGAGAGCCGUCAGCACGGGGAGCAGAGGGACCUGGGUUGAAGUCCAAACCCAAGGCCUUCUUAUUCUUCUUGGCCGAAGCCACAGCAAACUGAUAGUUGCGCUUGAAGAGCGAAUCGUCACGACACCAUAGGAGUGAAGUGGGAUCUGCGUUCGUUGGCUGUGGCCCACGGACCAUGAAAGGGUAGAAGCCUUGUUCAAUGGCUUCAGCUCGGCUCUUGGGUUGAAGACCUCGAUAGAGGAUAUCACCCCAAGGUCUCUUGAUGGCAUUCUUCUCUGCAUAUUCCUUUGUGACAAACUUGUACUUGAACCACUCCUCUGCCCAAUAGCGUUGAAUCCAUUGGAUUCGCGUCUUCCUCUGAUGAUAGUUCUCCUUCGGAUCUGUCUUGUACAGUUCUGCUAAAUCAUCAGGCAGAUCCUUAAAUGUACCUUCUCGGCGCUGUCUGCCACCCUUCCUUGCUGAUUUUUCUGUUGCCAUGAACUUUAAGCUGAAAGGCUUCAAUACGUUCAAAGGCUUCAGAGAUUUGCGCUUGCUGGUCAAGCAGGAACUGGCUUCAGGAGAAUUUAUAUGAUGCUGCAAAUAUUCUGCAAAUGAAUGCAGACUAUGAGAACCAAGGGAUUCUCCCACGGACAUGUACCUGUGACAGCAUUAGAGAUGUGAGGGAAGGGGAAGAGGUCAUAUGCAUUCUCAGAAGAUUUUGAAGAUAAAUCAGUUGAAGACAUUGACCUCAUGUUGCGAAGACAUUCACUUAUAUAGGUGAGUUGGUUCCAGAUUUGUACCAAUCCGUGAAUAAGUACAAGUGAGGAAUCAAACUAGAAGAGAUCUAAGUGAAUCAACUAAGCAGUAUGAGAUGCAGACGGAAUAGAUCUAGCUUUGAAUAGACAGAAACUACUUUCCAAAAAUAGGAUGAAUCUUGAAGAUCAAAAAGGUGGUAAAAAUAGAGUUAUAAUUACCGCACGAGGAACUGCUAGAUGGAGAAGAAUAGGAGACCGAGCAGUUCAGCCCACCGUGCCCUAACUUGGUGACGGAGGACACCUACGGCGACGGCGGAGAGGGCGAUGUCCGCGGCCGGCGUGAGGACGGCGUCAGAGAAGUCGCGGCAGCUAAGCGCUUCGUCGCUAGCGUCGUCGCGAGCUAGCGGUGGCACUAGGGUUUUGACGGAGGUGGAGAGGUGGAAGAAGGAUUUCUUUACCGCACGGGGACAUGUAUUUAUAUGUAGGUGAGAGACACAGCGCAAUUACGCUGGUGCCCCUGGCGGUUCACAUCCGAGGGGCACGUGGCAAGCAUGCAACACACUUAGGGUUGUCCCACGUUCCCACGCCCGCCAGGCAUGUCGGAGAGUUGUUCCGGCUUCUCCGGAUUUCAAUAGUAAAGAUAAGCCAUUAAAACAGAUUUAAUGUUUGUCUCUUUGCCUUCUGCUGACUAGGACGCAGAGAAGACAUUCGACAGUUUCAACAGAAUGCAUAUGAUUUGGACAGACAGAGUUUGAGAUAGGAAGCAUAGAGAGGUUAGGGUCCGAUCACAUUCACAUAGUUCAAAAGAUCCAAUCUUGAAGACAUAGCUAUAAGUGAAUGCUGUGGAGGACAGAACACUAGUAUAUAUACAUAUAUCAGAAAGCAAUCAAAUCAUCAUAGUGCAGAAAGUCAUGAAGACAAAUUGAAACUGAAGAUAAACCAAAUGCGAAGUCAUUGCAAUAUAACGCCUUGAGUGAAACACUUCAAACAAGAAAAGUUGGUGGUGGCGUUACCCACCGUAUAGGAAAUAUUAGACCCAGACAUGGCGCACAAUUAUCGUGGCGCUCCGAAGUCAAAUUCCAUGUAAAUGUAUUCACACUCAGAGUGUAAAUCUUCAUUGAUUGAAGAUAUACCUUACUUUGUGUGUUGCACAUCUAAGUCAUCAGCAUGCAUAAGGGUUAGGAUGUGUGCCUGAUCACAGGACAUUAGAGGAUUCUAAGAUAUUUAGCUCACACCGUAACUUGCAAAACCUUUUCUCAUCCAACGGCUUUGUGAAGAUAUCUGCCAGUUGCUCUUCAGUGUUGACGUGAAUGAUAUCGAUAUCUUUCUUCAUAACAUGAUCUCUGAGAAAGUGAUGACGAAUUUCAAUGUGCUUUGUCUUUGAGUGUUGGACUGGAUUGUUGGCUAUCUUGAUGGCACUCUCAUUGUCGUAGAAGAGAGGUACUUGUUUCGGGUUGAGGCCAUAGUCCUUGAGAGUUUGCUUCAUCCAUAGAAGCUGAGCACAAUAGGAUCCGGCUGCAAUGUAUUCAGAUUCAGCAGUUGAGAGUGAUACACAGUUCUGCUUCUUCAAAGAGCAACAGACAAAUGAUCGACCAAGAAAAUGGCAUGUGCCAGAUGUAGACUUGCGAUCCACCUUGUCACCAGCAUAAUCAGCAUCCGAGAAUCCAACCAAAUCGAAUCUUGAGCCCUUGGGAUACCAUAAUCCGAGUGUUGGGGUGUAAGCCAAAUAUCGAAGAAUUCGCUUCACAGCUAAGUGAUGCGAUUCCUUUGGUGCCGCUUGGUACCGAGCACACAUGCAAACACUAAGCAUGAUAUCUGGCCUAGAUGCACAUAAAUAAAGCAAAGAACCAAUCAUGGAGCGGUAUACCUUUUGAUCGAACUCUUUACCAUUGUCGUCGGGACCAAGAUGGUGUUUGGCUGGCAUUGGCGUCGUGUAGCCUUUGCAGUCUUCCAUUACAAACUUCUUCAGACAAUCUUUGAGGUAUUUCUCUUGAGAUAUGAAGAUUUCGUUCCUCUGUUGACAAAUUUGGAGACCAAGGAAGAACUUCAGCUCACCCAUCAUGGACAUUUGAUAUUGCUCUUGCAUCAUAUACCCAAACUCAUCACUGUACUUUUGGUUGGUGCAUCCGAAGAUUAUGUCAUCCACAUAUAUUUGGCACACAAACAGUUCACCAUCAUAUGUCUUCGUGAAGAGAGUGGGAUCGAGGGAUCCAGGUUUGAAGCCUUUGCUCUUCAGGAAGUCUUUGAUUGUAUCAUACCAGGCACGAGGAGCUUGUUUGAGGCCAUACAGUGCCUUGUUUAGCUUGUACACCAUAUCAGGAUGUUUUGGAUUUUCAAAGCCAGGUGGUUGUGCGACAUAUACUUCUUCUUCAAUCUUGCCAUUGAGAAAUGCACUCUUCACAUCCAUUUGAUAUAGCAAGAUAUUGUGAUGAUUUGCGUAGGCUAGUAGUAUGCGAAUAGCUUCAAGCCUAGCAACAGGAGCAAAUGUUUCAUCGAAGUCAAUUCCUUCAACUUGAGUGUAUCCUUGAGCCACAAGACGUGCUUUGUUUCUGACGACUUGACCAUGCUCAUCUUGCUUGUUGCGAUAUAUCCAUUUUGUUCCAAUAAUGUUAUGCUUGCGAGGAUCCGGUCGCUUGACAAGUUCCCAGACAUUAUUGAGCUUGAACUGUUGAAGUUCUUCCUGCAUGGCUUGAAUCCAUUCAGGUUCCAUAAAAGCUUCAUCAACUUUCUUGGGUUAUGAUAUUGACACAAAUGAAAAGUGCCCACAGAAGUUUGCUAGCUGUGUUGCUCUUGAUCGAGUGAGCGGACCAGGUGCAUUGAUGUUGUCAAUUAUCUUCUCUAUUUGAACUUCAUUUGCAACAAAAGGGUGAACAAGACGAAGAUUUUGCUCUGGCUGAUCAUUGUCAUCAUUGGAAGGAUUGUCUUCGGACUGAGCAUUGUCUUCAGGUUGAUUUGGUGCAGAGAUGAUAAGUUCCUCUUCAGGCUGUGUUUCAGAGGGCAUAAUUUCACCAGUUCCCAUCAGCUUGAUUGCCUCAUUUGAAGGAACUUCAUCCAGUGUGCUUGGCAGCAUCUCUCUCUGCGAACCAUUGGUUUCAUCAAAUUUCACAUCCACUGUUUCAAUGAUCUUAUAGAGAUAAAGGUUGAAGACUCUGUAGGAGUGUGAAUCCUUUCCAUAGCCAAGCAUGAAGCCUUCGUGAGCCUUAGGUGCAAAUUUUGACUUGUGAUGGGGAUCCUUGAUCCAGCAUCUUGCUCCAAAUACUUUGAAGUAACUGACAUUUGGCUUCUUGCCAGUAAGUAGCUCAUAUGAUGUUUUGUUCAGAAGCUUAUGAAUGUAUACAUGGUUGAUGAUGUGACAUGCUGUAUCAAUAGCUUCAGGCCAGAACUUUCUUGGUGUCUUGUACUCAUCUAGCAUUGUUCUAGCCAUCUCAAUGAGGGUUCUGUUUUUGCGUUCAACAAUGCCAUUUUGCUGAGGUGUGUAUGGAGCAGAGAACUCAUGAGUGAUUCCCAUUGUAUCCAGAUACAGAUCAAGUCCAGUGUUCUUAAAUUCAGUGCCAUUGUCACUUCUGAUGUGCUUGAUCUUCACUCCAUAAUUGUUCAUUGCUCGAUUUGCAAAGCGUCUGAAGACAUCUUGUACUUCAGUCUUGUAAAGAAUUAUAUGAACCCAUGUGUAUCUUGAGUAGUCAUCAACAAUGACGAAGCCAUAGAGACAGGCAGUUGUUGUGAGGGUGGAGUAGUGAGUAGGUCCAAAUAAGUCCAUGUGUAACAGCUCGAUGGGUUGAGAUGUUGUCAUAAUUGUCUUCGAUGGGUGCUUUGCCCUUGUCAUCUUUCCAGCUUCACAAGCACAACAUAGAUGAUCCUUCUUGAACUUGACAUCUUCGAUGCCAAUGACAUGCUUCUUCUUGACGAGUGAGUGUAAGUUUCUCAUGCCAGCAUGUCCCAGCCUUCGAUGCCAGAGCCAGCAUUCUGAAGCUUUUGUGAGAAGACAAACGACAAGCUGUGGACCUGCUGAGAAAUCUACCAUGUACAGAUCAUCUUUUCGAUACCCUUCAAAGACUAGAGAUUUGUCAGAUUCCAUUAGUACAAGGCAACGAUAUUUGCCAAAUAUCACAAUCAUGUUUAAGUCACAAAGCAUUGAGACAAACAUUAAGUUGAAACCAAGGGAUUCAACAAGCAUCACUUUAUCCAUGUGUUGAUCCUUUGAGAUUGCAACUCUACCUAGACCCAAUACUUUGCUUUUACCAGUGUCAGCAAAUGUGAUGUGACUUUUGUCGGAUGGACGUAAGGUUGAGUCCAUGAGAAGACUUCGAUCACCAGUCAUAUGAUUUGUGCAUCCACUGUCCAUAAUCCAUUCUGAGGCUUUUGGUGAUGUACCCUACAGUUCAGUUAGGAGGAUAGGCUUCACACAAGUGUUGUGAAGCAUAUACAUUUGAUACAUAUAGGGACAGUCACAGCUUAUAUCAAAGUUAGGACAUUGACUGAUGAGAAAUUCAGAUGUGAAGCAUAUAGAAUGAUAUUUUAACGUGCGUCCUCAGUGAGUUUUAGGUCCCCAGCAAUAGUAUCGGACGCCAUUGAUUGCUGGAUGGAGACCAUUUUCUGCAAAAUAAAGUUAGUUCUUCUUUGCCACCCACAUUUUCAGUGGGGGCUUAGAAGCGAUGAGUCUAAGUGCAGCAUCUGAGAAUUUUGGCUUUGAAGCCCUAGCAAAUAGCCUUGCAGGAGAUGAAUGAUACUCAUAUGAAUAAGCAGAAAAGUUCUUAGUUCUAUGAACAUAGCGGUUUGAAGAUACACGCUCAUAUUCAUAAGUCUGAGCAUGAUUUCCCUGCAAAACAUUGGCGUUAGGGUGACUCAUGUGAGUCCUGUAUCUGUAUGAAGCCUUUGGGCCAUAUGAAGCUAUAGGUCUGGGGUUUGUCUUCUUCCUAGGUGGUGUCAUGAUGACAUUCACAGGAAGAUUCUCAAUAUACUGCUUAGGUACCCAAAUCUUCUUCAUAAGUGGUCCAUUCCCGUAGUUAGUGCCAAUGUACCUGGCAAACACUUCACCAUUCUGAUUUUUGAACAACUUAUAGUUUGCAUCAAAGGAUUCAUCAAUGAUAAUAGGAUUAGCACAGGUAAAGCCAGAUAAGGUAGAUGGAUCUACUGGAGGUCCCUUUGCAGCAACCCAUGUGGUUUUGGGGUACUGCUCAGGCUUCCAGUACGAGCCAUCAACAUUCAUUUUCCUUUCGAACCCAACACCCUCUUUCCUAGGGUUUCGGUUCAGAAUCUGCUUUUUGAGGACAUCGCAGAGAGUCUGAUGUCCCUUCAAACUUUUGUACAUCCCUGUUUCAAGAAAUGUCUUCAACAUAGCAUUUUCAUCAGCAACAGCAGUGGUAUCCUCCACAGAGGGGUUAGUUACCACAUCAGUAGGUGAAGACAAUGAAACAGUAGCAGCAGUGGAACAUUCAGCAACAGAUGUAGCAUUAUCACGCUCAAUGCAUUUUAGACAUGGUGGUUCAAAUUCAUCCUGAGCGGAACUGAUCUGUUGGGAGCGAAGUGACUCAUUCACUUUCUGAAGAUCUUCAUGAGCCGCUGUCAAUUUCUCAAGCUCUUGUUUCCUUUGAAGAUAAUCAUAGGAGAGCCUUUCAUAAGUAGUUGAGAGUGAUUCAUGACGACCUUCAUGUUCUUGGUACUUAGCAUGAAGAUUUUUUAUGUCAUCAACUAAGGACUGUGAACGUGUCAUUUCAACGUCCAACAGGUCAUCGCUUUUGUCUAACAGUUUUUGAGUAUGUUCCAUAGCCUUUUGUUGUUCAGUUGCAAUUUUAGCAAGUGUUUUGUAACUGGGUUUGGAUUCACAAUCAGAGUCAUCUUCACUUGAAGUUUGAAAGUAAGCAUCGCGUGAUUUUACCUUGGCACCACGUGCCAUGAAGCAGUAGGUGGGAGUAGGAUCAUCUUUGUCAUUAGCUUCAGUGCUGAUGUGGAAGUCAUUGUCUUCCGUGUUGAAGAUGGACUUGGCAACAUAGGCCGUGGCUAAAGCCAGACUUGCAACGCCAGGGUCAGACUCCUCUCCAGAUUCCACCUCCGCCUCCUCUGAAGCAGACUCCUCUUCUGAAUCCAUUUCCUUGCCAACAAAAGCACGAGCCUUGCCAGAUGAGCUCUUCUUGUAUGAUGAAGACUUGGAAGAAUACUUAGAAGACUUUGAGGAUUUCUUCUUCUUCUUGUCAUCAGAAUCAUAUUCCUUGCUUUUCUUCUUCUUCUUCUCAUUGUCCCAUUGUGGACACUCAGAUAUGUAGUGACCAGGUUUCUUGCACUUGUGGCAGGUUCUCUUCUUGUGAUCAUGUGUGGAAGCUUCAUCAUUCCUUGAGCUAGAUCGUGAAGACUUUCUGAAGCCUUUCUUCUUUGUGAAUUUCUGGAACUUCUUCACAAGCAUAGCAAGUUCCCUUCCAAUGUCUUCAGGAUCUUCAGAACUGCAGUCAGAUUCUUCUUCAGAUGAGGAAACAACUUUUGCCUUCAAAGCACGAGUUUGGCCAUAGCUUGGACCAUAGAUAUCUCUUUUCUCAGAUAACUGGAACUCAUGUGUGUUGAGCCUCUCAAGUAUAUCAGACGGAUCGAGUGUCUUGAAGUCAGGACGUUCUUGUAUCAUGAGGGCAAGAGUGUCAAAGGAGCUGUCAAGUGAUCUCAGCAGUGUCUUGAUGAUUUCAUGCUUGGUAAUCUCAGUUGCGCCAAGAGCUUGAAGUUCAUUUGUGAUAUCAGUGAGGCAAUCAAACGUGAGCUUGGCAUUCUCGUUGUCGUUUCUCUUGAAGCGAUUGAAGAGGUUGUGUAGAACACUGAUUCUUUGAUCUCUCUGGGUUGAAACGCCUUCAUUGACCUUGGGUAGCCAGUCCCAGACUAGCUUCGACGUUUCCAGAGCACUCACACGGCCAUACUGUCCUUUGGUCAGAUGACCACAGAUGAUGUUCUUUGCAGUGGAGUCCAGUUGAAUGAACUUCAUUCUUGACGACAUCAGUGAGGGUGAUACCUUCACCAGUCUUGGGAAUGCCAUUCUUGACGACAUACCAGAGGUUGACAUCAAUGGCUUCAAGAUGCAUACGCAUCUUAUUCUUCCAGUAGGGAUAUUCAGUUCCAUCGAACACGGGGCAAGCAGCGGAGACCUUGAUUAUCCCUGCAGUCGACAUAGCUUAAACUCCAGGUGGUUAAACCGAAUCACACAGAACAAGGGAGUACCUUGCUCUGAUACCAAUUGAAAGUGCUAGUAUCGACUAGAGGGGGGGGGUGAAUAGGCGAUUUUUAUGAACGUCUUCAAAACUUGAAAGUUUCGAAGACAAACACCAGAAACAACCUAAUUGAUAUGCAGCGGAAGAUAAACUACCCUAAACAAGCCAUAGUCAAGUAUGUAAUGAUGUGAAAGUACAGGACUAAUAGUAGUAAGGUAGAAAGGAUCAAGAUGGAAGAUAGUAUGAAGCCAAUCAACAAUAGUAGUUAGCAAUGAAGUCAAACAGAUGAACUAGGCAAUGACUUCAUGAAGACAAACUUAAGUAAGGUAGGAAGAGAUAGAACCAGUUGCUUGUUGAAGACACAGGAUUUGUUGGACCAGUUCCAGUUGCUGUGACAACUGUACGUCUGGUUAGGGAGGCUGAGAUUUAACUUAGAAGACCGUGUCUUCAGCUUAUUCCCCUUCAGCUAAGGACACCCAGUCCUCGCCCAAUCACUCUGGUAAGUCUUCAAGGGAGACUUCCAAACCUUCACAGACUUCGUUCACCGGCAAUCCACAAUGACUCUUGGAUGCUCAGAACGCGACGCCUAACCGGCAGGAGGAUUCACAGUCCUCAAGUGUAAUAAGUCUUCAGGUCACACAGACAGAAAGACUUCAGUGAUGCCUAACACUCUUUGGCUCUGGGCAUUUGGGCUUUGUCCUCGCAAGGAUUUCUCUCUCUCAAAUGCUUCGAGGUGGGUUGCUCUCAAACGACAAAAGCCGUGUACAAACUCUGAGCAGCCACCAAUUUAUGGUGUAGGGGGUGGGCUAUUUAUAGCCACUAGGCAACCCGACCUGAUUUGUCCAAAAUGACCCUGGGUCACUAAGGAACUGACGCAUGUUCCAACGGUCAGAUUUCAAACACACGCGGCAACUUUACUUGGGCUACAAGCAAAGCUGACUCAUCCAGCUCUGGAUAAGAUUUGCUCUCAUUGUCUUCGCUUGAAGACAUAGGAUUUGGGUUGAGCAUCACUUCAGUCACUCUGACUUAGUUCACUUGGACCCCACUUAACAGUACGGUAGUUCCUAUGACUCAACAAAGAAGAAAAGGAAACAGCGAAAGCACACAGUCUUUGCGCUCCAAAGUCUUCACGCAAUGUCUUCUCAUGUCAUAGUCUUCAAUAUGAAUAUCUUCUCAUAUCACCAUUGUCUUCAGUGUCUUCAUACAUUUUUAGGGGUCAUCUCCGGUAGGUAAACCGAAUCAAUGAGGGACACUACCUGCGUUAUCCUGCAAUUCUCACAAACGCAUUAGUCCCUCAACCAACUUUGUCGUCA
rnacentral:lncRNA from 1 species